rnacentral:piRNA from 1 species
GCCCUUUGUGCAAAGCUGAGGCUUCAGGGA